rnacentral:piRNA from 1 species
UCCACAGACACCCACAAUACCCCCUUGCCC